GAUUCUGUAGUGUAGCAGUUAACACGUUUGCUUUACAGGCAGAAGAUCCUGGGUUCACACCCUACUGGAGCCA
rnacentral:tRNA from 1 species